rnacentral:rRNA from 1 species
AACGUAGGACGCAAGCGUUAUCCGGAGUUACUGGGCGUAAAGCGCGGGCAGGCGGUUGGUCAAGUCUGAUGUGAAAUCUCCUCGCUCAACGGGGAGCAGCCAUUGGAAACUGGGCAACUGGAGUCUGGCAGAGGUAGGCGGAAUUCCGGGUGGAGUGGUGAAAUGCGUAGAGAUCCGGAGGAACACCAGAGGCGAAGGCGGCCUACUGGGCCAGUACUGACGCUGAGCCGCGAAAGCCAGGGGAGCAAACGGG